GAUGAACGCUGGCGGCGUGCCUAAUACAUGCAAGUCGAACGAACAGACGCGGAGCUUGCUGCUUGCUUGUUAGCCGAAGGGGGGAGUGUCACACGAGUAUAAUCUCCCUGUCAUAGGGAUAACUCUUGGAAAAAGGGGCUAAUAUACCAUAUGAUCUUCUGCUGCGCAGGGUGCAAUGGAAAAAUUCGGUGGUUGGGUAAGGAAUCGAUGCUUCUCAGCUUGUUGGUGUGGUAGUGUCUUACCAAGGUUUCGACGGGUAGCCUGCCUGAGCGGGUGACCGGCCACAGUGGGACUGCGAUACGGCCCAGACUCCUACGGGAGGCAGCAGUGGAGAAUAUUGAACAAUGGGCGGAAGCCUGAUGCAGCAACGCCGCGUGCGGGAUGACGGCCUUCGGGUUGUAAACCGCUUUCGCCUGUGACGCAGCGUGAGUGACGGUAAUGGGUAAAGAAGCACCGGCUAACUACGUG
rnacentral:rRNA from 1 species